rnacentral:rRNA from 1 species
UACGUAGGGGGCGAGCGUUAUCCGGAUUCACUGGGCGUAAAGGGAGCGCAGGCGGCGCGGCAAGUCCGGUGUGAAAGCCCGGGGCCCAACCCCGGGACUGCACUGGAAACUGCCGGGCUGGAGUGCCGGAGGGGUAAGCGGAAUUCCUGGUGUAGCGGUGAAAUGCGCAGAUAUCAGGAGGAACACCGGUGGCGGAGGCGGCUUACUGGACGGCAACUGACGCUGAGGCUCGAAAGCGUGGGGAGCAA